UUUUGGUGCCUGGGAGCAUUUUCCUGGGAGAGGGAAGGGGUAAGGAGGCGAGGGAGGUGGGUCAUCUACAAUCAUCCCUUUACCCAGCUGGCUGGAAUUGCUGUAUAGGAAUUAAAAUCAACAAAGGAAGUCAUUGUGAAAAUAUGCAUAGACGUGAGCUCUGGACAGAACAGGUUCAGGAAACGGAGGAGAUCCCCAGGAAGUCUUCCAAGCACAAAGAGGAAGAAAUGGAAAGUAUGAAAGUACGGAUGCAGGAACCUGUGAUUAAAGCAGAAAUGAAAGAAUGAAUAAGGGAACUAUAGUUCUGCAAACAAGAAAGGGAGGAGGAGGGAAUAAGACCAGCUCUCUUUGCAAGUCCUUCCUUCAUCAAGCCAUAGGAAGGAGGGAGUGGAUGGCACAGGAGCUCUGAAGAACAAAACACGCUGGGAAAUCCAGUUCCCCUGUCCAUACAAUCUUAUAUCUGCAAGGACUUUAAUUUGACACCAGGGCUGGUGUUUGAAGGGCAUUACUGUUAGUGGAGGGAGCUGACGGAAUGACUCAAGGCACAAGUAUAUCAUCUGAAGAAGACUAGAGCCUCAUUGCCUUAAAAGAAUCAGCAACAAGUGAAAAGUGACAGUGGCUGACCACGUGUCCUUGGACAAGGUACCUAUCUGCUUUGAGUGUACUUGCUGAGUCUGUUUCAACUAUACAAUGGAAAUGACAUGACCUCCUGCAGAGGAUGAUAAAGACCACCUUAGAGAGCAGGAAGAUAUGUGGGUUGAGUGGGGCUUUGCCUAAUAUGCCCUAGCGCCUCCUGAAAGUGAAUGAGGCCAGCUGGGAUGACUAGGCACUGCUCAGAGAGCUGGGGUGGCUGUUCCUUUGUUUGCCCGUGGUGGCCAGCAUGUUUGCAGUUGGGAGGAUUCUUCACCAGUCUAACACAUGCCUCAGUUUUCUAGGUGAGAAACCCAGACAAGUGGAUCCUGCUCCUUACUUAAGGGGGCAUGGUCUCUCUCCAGGUCAACAUGUAUCACCAGCGAUGAUAUCCUCUGGGCUGGCACUGCACAGAGAUGGAACCUGAUGAAACGGCCCCGUUUGAGCGCCUGCUGUAUCGCGUUGGCUCUGCUUCCUGCAGCUGUGCUCCAAGAUGAGCCUUUCAGACAUCGCUCCUUAAUAGCUCCAUCUCCCCCAGUCCAGGAGGAUGUGCAUUCCUCUCCUCAUUCACAUGCCCCACGUCAAGCCAUCUGCACACUCUACAGGGGACUUGCCGCCUAACAUCCUAAUGUGCAACCCCAUCCAAAUCCUCUGCUGGAAUCUCACUAUUUGCACCACUUACGCUCCUGGAGCGUGAAACAGAAGGGCCAGUCCUCUUGUCUCUUUAUUCUAAGUGUUUAAUACAGAUUCCAUGGACUUGGUCCAUAACAAUAUGAGUGUGGUCUUACAUCAGUCCUUUUACUAAUUUCUCAUCAUCUCCCUCAUCCUUGUCCUUUAGUGAUUGUUCCAGACCUUCUCUUCUUAUC
rnacentral:lncRNA from 1 species